ACAGUCCAAAAUUUGAAACAAAUGGACAUGACUUUUAGACAUAGAAUGGACACUAUAAAGACUAAGGCUAUAUGAUGUCCUUGCUAUGUCUAGUCUUAAAUAUGUCUCUUGGCUCGUCAGGGCUGUUGUGAGCGUGGUGUGCCAAAGCUAAGUACCCUUCUAUUUUCUUUCUACUCAUUGUCAAGUUAUAGACAUUCCUCUACCACCACCUAUAGUAUCAACUUCAACCAAAGAAACGGAUAGUUGGAGUUUGCACACAUGAGUCCAAGUGUUGUCAAGUUUCCUUCAAUUUUAUUUAAAUAACUUCAAUCUUAAUGGGGCUUAAAAUUAUUUAAACAUGCUGUCAUAUGAACUGGCACCAAUUUUCCCCCAUAAAUGUUAAAAGAAACACGCAUCUUACCACAGCCACCUCCCUGCCCUUUCUCUGCCUUAAACUCUGAUUUCAAGUGAAUUCCCUCUCUGCCAUUCCUUUUCUGUCUAUUGAAAUUGAAGUGCCGCUUAUAAUGUCAAUGUUUGAGGAUGUUUUUUUGACUGUGUCUUUUUCAUGUUCUGUUCAUAAUUUUGCCCUCCCCCUGUGCUGUUCUGCUACCUUGUUUCUUAAAGUGUUUGAUUGCUCAUGGUUCUGCUGCAAUUUGUACGUGCUAUAAUACUUGUAUAUGUUUCUCGUGUGCUGUGUUCUGCCCUCGCCCUGCACUGUUCUGCUACCUUGUUUCUUAAAGUGUUUGAUUGUUCAUGGUUUUGCUGCAGUUUGUGCCUGUACUUUUAUAUGUGUGAAUUUCUCUUGUGUUUAUGAGUGUUCUUGUGCCUUUUGUGUUCUGGUAUGUCCUUAUGCUGCUUACUAAGUGAAUCUGACAUUUUUAUUGCAUUGUUUUAUUGAAUGACUUGCUCUGUUGUCACUUUGAAUUUUGAAGUGGUAUUUUUGUCUCUCUGUCUUGUGGAUUUUUUGUGGUUUAGUUUGUUUAAUUUGUGUGUGUGUGACAUGAUCUCUGUACUGCCCCCUCCCCCCUCCCUUUUCCCUUGAUCUUUCCCAAAAGUUCCUUGUUUUACACUCCUGUUAGGCAAACCUCUGUUAAAUAAGCCAGUCAACUCCAAUAUUCUGUAAGAAAAAACUUGUCAAAGGUUUUCAUUGCACUUUGGUGUCUACUGUGCUCUCUCAAACUAUCCACAACUAUAGGAGGUGUUUAUUAAAGUAAUUUAUGUAAAAUCAAUUUUGUUACUAAUGAGUUACGCUUUAUUCAGCUUGCAGGACGGUCAGUUUGGAGAAUUGCUCUUCCUGUGGUGUGUUGCGGAUUGUUGAUGCUCCACUGGGACCAUUCACUUCCACGCUGCAAAUGGCUGCAUCUCAACGCUGUUUUAUAAGGUUUCAACGUCUGCUCUCCCCAACACAGGAGCUUCCCAUUUUCAAGAAAGAAGAUUUACAUGUUAAUUUAAACUUAUGUCUUUACAAUCAUGGAUUGUUACCUACUACUCUGUAAUUUUAUUUUCAACAUAAAUAGAAGAAAACCUAUUUUCCAUUUAUCCA